UACGUAGGUGACAAGCGUUGUCCGGAUUUACUGGGUGUAAAGGGCGCGUAGGCGGAUGUGCAAGUCAGUCGUGAAAUACCGGGGCUCAACCCCGGGGCUGCGAUUGAAACUGCACACCUUGAGUAUCGGAGAGGAAAGCGGAAUUCCUAGUGUAGCGGUGAAAUGCGUAGAUAUUAGGAGGAACACCAGUGGCGAAGGCGGCUUUCUGGACGACAACUGACGCUGAGGCGCGAAAGUGUGGGGAGCAAACAGG
rnacentral:rRNA from 1 species